rnacentral:rRNA from 1 species
ACGGGUGAGUAAUACAUCGGAACGUGUCCUGUAGUGGGGGAUAGCCCGGCGAAAGCCGGAUUAAUACCGCAUACGAUCUGUGGAUGAAAGCGGGGGAUCCUUCGGGACCUCGCGCUACAGGGGCGGCCGAUGGCAGAUUAGCUAGUUGGUGGGGUAAAGGCCUACCAAGGCGACGAUCUGUAGCUGGUCUGAGAGGACGACCAGCCACACUGGGACUGAGACACGGCCCAGACUCCUACGGGAGGCAGCAGUGGGGAAUUUUGGACAAUGGGCGAAAGCCUGAUCCAGCAAUGCCGCGUGUGUGAAGAAGGCCUUCGGGUUGUAAAGCACUUUUGUCCGGAAAGAAAACCUCGUGGUUAAUACCCGUGGGGGAUGACGGUACCGGAAGAAUAAGCACCGGCUAACUACGUGCCAGCAGCCGCGGUAAUACGUAGGGUGCAAGCGUUAAUCGGAAUUACUGCGCGUAAAGCGUGCGCAGGCGGUUCGCUAAGACAGAUGUGAAAUCCCCGGGCUUAACCUGGGAACUGCAUUUGUGACUGGCGGGCUAGAGUAUGGCAGAGGGGGGUAGAAUUCCACGUGUAGCA